UGGGGCCAGGUAAGAGAAUAAAAGCAGGCUGCCCGAGCUAGUAGUAGUGAUAAAAGUGUUUGUAUUUUAGUACGUGCAGCUUUAGACCUUUGGAUGUUUAUGUUUUCUCUGCUGUGGUUUUAUGGAUUGUAAUGCUACGAAAAUCCGUGGCUUUAACGUUUUCAGUUAGUGAAACUGUGAAUCCGCCAAGAGAAAUAAGUAAGUGCUGAUGUGUUGGUUUGAGAGCUGUAACAUUCACUGCAAAGAUCUGUAACUUCUCUUCUGAGCCGGCAAGAUAGUAAACCCACCAGAAAGAAAAAACUUUAGAGACGCUACUUUAGAACUGUAAUGCUCACUGUGAGGGUCUGCAGUUUCAUUUUUGAAGUCAGACCAAAAACCUGAUUGUGGACACUGGGGAACUCUGCAUCCUUUGCAGCUACUGGCCCAAAAUCUCAUCCACUCCUCUGCGUCCAUCCACAUGUCCUGGGAAGCCUUCCCUGAUCACCUCAGAGCAGCUUCCGAAUGGCGCCAGAGCAAUAAAGGUUGUAAGACCCCCAUGUCCGAAGGGGUCCUGUCCCAUACUCGGGAAGAAGGAAUGCUGCAUAGACAGGCCAGGAAGAAUCUCGGCCUUACCGGGUUUCCCCACUCAAUCUAUAAGCAUUAGAUCAUACUCUUUUUGUCCAAUCACAGUUCUCCUUGGUUGUCAAUCAUACCUAUCCAAAAAAAUCUCCAUAAAAGGCCCAAGAAGAUAAGGUAUGGGAAACUUUUGCACAGCUGAAAUGCUGGAGGCUUGCAAGAAAAUGAACAAGAAUGCAUCCGCCUGCCGGGGGGGUGGCGCAUCCCUCUCCACGGGAACUGAGGCUCCUGCAGUCAGGACCCUUUCAGACCUCACCCUGUGUAUCUCUUCAUCUGGCUAUUUAUUUGUAUCUUUUAAAAUAGCCUUUAAAAUAAAUCA